UACGUAGGGCGCGAGCGUUGUCCGGAAUUAUUGGGCGUAAAGAGCUCGUAGACGGCCUGUUGCGUCCGCUGUGAAAUCCCAGGGCUCAACCCUGGGCGUGCAGUGGAUACGGGCAGGCUGGAGGCAGGCAGGGGAGAACGGAAUUCCCGGUGUAGCGGUGAAAUGCGCAGAUAUCGUCUGGAACGCCAAAGGUGAAAACAGCUCGCUGGGGUUGUGCUGACGCUGAGACACGAAAGCCAGGGGAGCGAACGGG
rnacentral:rRNA from 1 species